AUGCACCCUGUCCCCUAUCCUGUCACCUGCUGGUCUGAAAGCGGGGGGGCAGUGUGUGUGCCCCUUGCAGACCAGACACCCCCUGGGGCAGUGGCCCAGGCUUCCUCCAGCACAGCUGCAGGGGGAGGGGAUGGGGGCUGCGGGGGGCUCAGGGGUGGAGCAAGGCCUCCCAGAGAGAGGUUUUUGUAUGAGCUUGUGUCACAGUGUUAUGUGUUCGGCAGCGGGACCCAGCUGACCGUCCUAGGUCAGCCCAAGUCUGCACCCUCCGUGUCUCUGUUCCCGCCAUCCGCUGAGGAGCUCAACAGCAACAAGGCCACACUGGUGUGUCUCAUGAGUGACUUCUACCCGGGCAGCGUGACGGUGGCCUGGAAGGCAAAUGGCACCCCCGUCACCCAGGGCGUGGAGACCACCAAGCCCUCCAAGCAGAGCAACAACAAGUACGCGGCCAGCAGCUAUCUGAGCGUGUCCAGCCAAGACUGGAAGUCCGCCAGCGCCUACAGCUGCCAGGUCACGCACGACGGGAAGACCGUGGAGAAGACAGUGGCCCCUUCAGAGUGUUCCUAGGACCUGAGUCCCCACUUCUGGGGACACUUCUCAGUCAGACACUCCCUUACCUGCUCCCCACUGGCCCCCUGCGGCUCCUGCCCUGGUGGCUCAGACUGGGCAGGUCGCCAUCCCUCCCCGUUUCCCCUUCUCCUGAAUAAACUCCUGUCAUUUCUCAUCUGA